AUUGAACGCUGGCGGAAUGCUUUACACAUGCAAGUCGAACGGUAGAGGGGGCAACCCCUCGAGAGUGGCGAACGGGUGGGUAAUAUAUCGGAACGUGCCCAGUCGUGGGGGAUAACGUAGCGAAAGUUACGCUAAUACCGCAUACGAUCUAAGGAUGAAAGCGGGGGAUCGCAAGACCUCGCGCGAUUGGAGCGGCCGAUGUCAGAUUAGGUAGUUGGGGAGGUAAAGGCUCACCAAGCCGACGAUCUGUAGCUGGUCUGAGAGGCCGACCAGCAACACUGGGACUGAGACACGGCCCAGACUCCUACGGGAGGCAGCAGUGGGGAAUUUUGGACAAUAGGCGCAAGCCUGAUCCAGCCAUUCCGCGUGCAGGACGAAGGCCUUCGGGUUGUAAACUGCUUUUGUACGGAACGAAAAGGCUCUGGUUAAUACCUGGGGCUCAUGACGGUACCGUAAGAAUAAGCACCGGCUAACUACGUGCCAGCAGCCGCCGUAA
rnacentral:rRNA from 1 species